GGUAACGAGGGGCCAGAGGGCGGGGUAAGACGGAGGGGGCAAGCGGUGUCCGGAAGCAUGGGGCGUAAAGCGCGUGUAGGCGGCCAGGUAAGUCCGGUCUGAAAGCCCGGGGCUCAACCGCGGGAGGCGGAUGGAUACUGCUUGGCUCGAGUCCGGAAGAGGCGAGUGGAAUUCCCGGUGUAGCGGUGAAAUGCGCAGAUAUCGGGAGGAACACCAAUGGCGAAGGCAGCUCGCUGGGACGGUACUGACGCUGAGACGCGAAAGCGUGGGGAGCAAACAGGAUUAGAUACCCCUGUAGUC
rnacentral:rRNA from 1 species